ACCCUGUUGGUGUCGGUCGACGCA
rnacentral:siRNA from 1 species